rnacentral:rRNA from 1 species
CAUUGAAUACACCAGUUCCUCAUAGAUCACUGAAGUUAAGCAACUGUACACGUGGUCAGUACCCAGAUGGGAGACCAUAUGGCAAUCGCGUCCUGCUCGCU